rnacentral:sRNA from 1 species
ACCAGGCAUGCUGGCUCAUGCCUGUAAUCCCAGCAGCUCGGAGGCCGAGGCAGGUGGCCAGCCUCAGCAACUUAGUGAGGCCCUAAGCAACUCAGCAAGACCCAGUCUCUAAUAAAAUAUUUUUAAAAGAGGGCUGGGGGGGGCUGGGGUUAUGGCUCAGUGGUAGAGCGCCUGCUUGCU